UACAAACAAGGUUGGGGCAAACUCCACACAAAGCUUGGAGGCUCCCAACAAGACCACGAAGCUUCACCACAAUGAAAUGUGGCUCUGAGGUGACCUCAACCGUCUAGGGUGCUCAAACACCCAAGAGUAACAAGAUCCGCAAGGGAUUGGUGGAGGAAUCAACUUUUCUCUUGGUGGAAGUGUAGAUCUAGGCCUUCUCAACCAAUCCCUAAAGAAUCAACAAGUUUGAUUGGCUAGGGAGAGAGAUCGGACACUUUUGAGCUUAGGGAGCAACAAUGGAGCUUGGGAGGGUCAAAGGUAGGGUUCUACAGCAAGAAGAACCCCUUAUAUAGUGGGGGGGGGGGAAUCCAACCGUUUUCCCACUCACAGCCCGAGCCUAGCGGUACUACCGCUGGCUGCAGCGGUACUACCUCUUGGCCCAUGGUAGUGCAGAAGAACUACCAGACCAACCACCGCCAAGAAAGUCUUCGCAAAAAGGUCCGACGAAGUACAGCCGCUAGGAAGGCGGUACUAAGCUCCUCGAGCGGUACUACCACUAGCCAGGGGUUGUACUACCGCGAGCACAACGGUACCACCGCUAGGCCCAGCGGUACUACCGCUGAGAGACCUUUUGCUUAGAUGAGAUAAAAACAGAGGCGGGAGCCACUCCAAAGUUGCAGGGAAAGGGAAAGGAGAUAAAGUGUGUGCGUGCAAAAUUGAUUCCACCCAAACCUUUCCACUACGGGUCCCCUCUUAAUAGUACGACGUUCCUAUGACUCAAAGAAGGAGAAUCGUGGAGUACACCGUGCUUCUGUUCCAUGGAAAGAGGGGGCGAGUCAUCUUGUGCUGUUGACAUGUGUUAUCUGAAAUCUUAACACACACGAUGUGUCCUUUGCGGUACUGUCAUCAAUCACCAAAAUUACUUAGGCAUAAAAUAUGCCCUAACAAACAUGAGUAUCAUGCGUGCCUAUUGUAGUUAUUUUUAACAAUCUGAUUUGUUAACACAUCAUUACAAGGUUACUUAAAACUACCUUUAUAGAUAUUUGAAACCAAAGUCUAGGAGUAUUCAACCAACCAGCACGGAACAUGAAAGAAAAUAUUUGUAUUUUUGCUUAGUAACUGUUAACAAACAAUGUGGUUCACAUAUGAAUGUGUGUAAUUUUAUUCUAUUCAUGAGUGUGUAAAUCACAAGAGAACUGUGCAAUGAGGUUCUUGUCACUGGUGAGGAUAGUGCACUAUUCCCAUAUUGUUUUGCUCAAUACUGAAGCAUUGGUCCCUUCUUGUUCGGUGCAAGAACCAACACUCUUUAUCGCCACUAUGGCCACGAAGGCUUCAACCAUACGGAUGUGCAUGAGCUGCUUUUUAUCAUAUACUGACCAUUCUUCUGUUUGCAGCAGAUGGUCGCUCUCAUGGUUGGGGACAACAGCUUGGCCUGGUACCAUGCACAACAAUCCCAUCAAACCUAUCAUCGCCUUAAUGGCUACUAGACCCGGUGUAGUGUGGCGAAGGCGUCGUCAAUGAAGAGAAAAAGAUUGUGGUCGAGGUUGUUGUGAGGGGUUCUUUGAUUGCUACUAACAUUAGGAAUUGAAUGCAAAUGAAGCUGAAUUGUAGCUUACGAGAUUUUAAUAAAGAUAUACAUUUUAUAUUGAAAUAAAAUAUGUCAUAGAGCGUUCUAUGUCAAAAGUCCUAUUCUGCUUCCGAGCUCAUAUGCUCCCACAUGAACGGUAAGAUUAAAAUUGUAAAAAAUAAAUCAAAACAUUCUGAUUUUUGUGUGUGACAAACUUUGAU
rnacentral:lncRNA from 1 species